AUGACUUCACUCCUACUCCUACUGAGGGACAACCAAGGAGGAGCUGUUGACAAUCCUUAGAUGUUGAUAGCGGUUGUACCAGAGAGAUAUAAGGUAACAUCUCACUGUUGCAAAAAGGUAUAUUUAUAUACAGUCGAUAUGUUUCCUUUGAAGGAGAUGAGAGAAGUAAGACAAGAUCAGUGAAAAGGUACAAAUUUAAAAUUUCGUGUUCUAAUCUUGAUAUUGAUUUGUCUUGAAUCUGAUGGCAGAACGGUUAAGCAAAAACUUUAAAAAUAUUUUCAUUUUCUUUUGUUCCUAUCUCUAUACUUACGUUUUUGUUAUUAGGUAAAUUUCGCAUAGGAUUUAUGCAAAAAUUUAGGGGGACAGAGAGAGAUAUCUGUGAAUAUGUUUUAAAAUAAGAAAAUACAAAAACAUUUGAAAAAUAGAAAAAUCCAAAAAGAUUUUAUUGCAUAUAUGGGAAAUGGAUUGAAUUUUCACUAUGUGGAUUAAGGCUGACUCAUGUAAGACUAGUAUUGAAAUGGUAUGACUCUAGAGCGAUAUGUUGGUAGGCUUUAUCAUGAUGGCUGAAAACUUUGACUGGUCCUGUGCAGAACAUAAAAUUACAUUAUGACCUUAGGAAAAAACGUCACUUAGAAUUAGGACAUUUCUAUUUGAAUGCUUGUGUGACGUCCUGAUACGCACAAUUUUGUUCUAGUUCUGAAAUCUUUUCUGACAAACUCGUGUAUCUCCUCUGUUUUGCGUGAGCAAAGACCUGGAGGUGCUAGGCAACGUCAGCUUCUGAUGCAUCCAAAUACAUGCUGGCUAGUUGUGCAUUGUCACACUAUAGAUUAAUUACACCCGAAAGAGGCCCCCUAGUGUUCAAAAGAAACCCGAAAAAAUCUAUAUCAAACUGAAAAAUUCAUUUGAUCUGUAUAUUAUAUCCAUCUCUCUGCAAAUGAUCUAUUUUGUUCUGUUCUCAACCAAAUCUCAGUCAAGGUUUCAGAAUCCUAGAACAGGCUUGUGAGAAUAUGUGGUAGGGAAACUGCAUGCAUGAUAGAGUGUACAGAUUAAAAUUCCAGGAUUUGAUUGUGAUUUGUUUGGGUGUUCAUAUUAAAUAAACUAAAACAUGAUAAAUCAGUUACAGACCGUCAUAUGGAAAAGGCCUAAGGAGAUAAGUUUAAGUGGACAAACAUACUGGCAAUCGCUCAGAUCAUCCAAAGUAAAUCAGUGUUGGUAAGUGUAGUCUGGCCCGAAACACUGUGAUUUGAUCCCAUUGCAAUUGUAAUAUUAGUUUCUUUGUUUAUUUGUGUUUCAGUUUAUAUUAUUAGAUUUUACAAUUAAAAAAAUCAAAAAGAGUGUUUUAUUUUUAUAAAAUUAAAAAUCCAAAAUAGGGUGUUUAUUUGUUUUAUUAAAAAAAUAACCGUUCUUGAAGAUUUGAUUGAUCAUCAUAAGCUGAAAGAAAAUUUGAAUUGUGAGAUCUGAGUACAAAUAUUGGAUGUACCAAGUGUUCAUGUGGUAUUUCCCUCUGUUGCUUAGAAAUGUUUGCUUUUGAGUUUCUGAGCAUGUGCAGAACUUGAUUUAAAUCAAGAAACAGGGGUUGUUGAAUAUUGAGAUGAUGUUAGCUGCUAACAAAGCAUGAAGCAACACAACAACAAGAUGUGCCCGAGUCAGAAGAAGCACAUACGAGUCAUUAUCUGACAAUGAUAGUACAUUUGAAGAAGUACUUGUGAACUUGCUUGAAAGAGAAAAGAUUGAUAAAGAAAAGAGAUACUGAGAAUCCUCCUCUUGCAUUCUUUUCAACAAGAUUUUCAAGCAAAAUUGAUCAUGAUCAAGAAGAAUAAAGAGCCCAAGUUUGAAGAUGACAAGAUGAAGUAUCUUCUCACAGAGACGUGCAAAAUAAGUAGUUUGAUAAAGACGGCAUAAACCUAGGGGGAUAUUGUAAGGCCAUAUAAUUUAGUAGGUUUACGCUUAUCUUUAUCAAAAACAAUUAUAAGUUAUUUGGACUUUUAGUUUACUAGUGGGCUUGGGUUAGGCCAUGUGGGUUGAGUUCUUUGUGGACCCUAUAUAAUGUCUUGUUUAGUUCAUUAUUAGGGUUAGCACAUGAGAGAGAGCUUGAGGGGCGAGUUAGGUUGUUGAUUGUUUUCAAAAACAUUGUAAUUGUGUACCACACAAUUCUCUGAAAUCGUGUGCACUUAAUCUUAAUACAAUCAACUUUGAUCUUCAUUCUUCUACAUAUUUUCUUAGUUUUCUCCACUAUGAUUUACCAGGCCCGAGUGGCCAUGUUCGUUGGAACGGGACUACCUUGGGAGGGGGGGUGGCAGAGGCAUGAUAGGUUAAGGAUGACGGGAGUGACCGAUUUUGGCAGAGUAAUGGCCUUAACAAAGGCGCGCGGGUAAAUGACGGCACGACAUGCAUAACGGAGGCCAUACAUGGGAUCCCAGGUGUGCAUGAGAUCAAGGAGUGGAAAGGUAUAAAGAAAUAACGAGAUGGUAGUCUUU
rnacentral:lncRNA from 1 species